rnacentral:rRNA from 1 species
ACGGAGGGGGCUAGCGUUGUUCGGAAUUACUGGGCGUAAAGCGCACGUAGGCGGAUUGGAAAGUUGGGGGUGAAAUCCCGGGGCUCAACCCCGGAACUGCCUUCAAAACUCCCAGUCUUGAGUUCGAGAGAGGUGAGUGGAAUUCCGAGUGUAGAGGUGAAAUUCGUAGAUAUUCGGAGGAACACCAGUGGCGAAGGCGGCUCACUGGCUCGAUACUGACGCUGAGGUGCGAAAGCGUGGGGAGCAAACAG